GAUGUAGGGCGCGAGCGUUGUCCGGAUUUAUUGGGCGUAAAGAGCUCGUAGGCGGCUUGUUGCGUCGACUGUGAAAACCCGCGGCUUAACUGCGGGCUUGCAGUUGAUACGGGCAGGCUAGAGUUCGGUAGGGGAGACUGGAAUUCCUGGUGUAGCGGUGAAAUGCGUAGAUAUCUGCAGGAACACCCGUGGCGAAAGCGGCGCGCUGGACCACUACUGACGCUGAGGAACGAAAGCUAGGGGAGCAAACAGG
rnacentral:rRNA from 1 species